AUGACCUCCACCAUGGCGCCCGCUGAGAUCCUGUUUUCCGUCGACGCACCGUCGUCGCAUGAGGACUUGGACGCCUGGCUCGCUGACAACCUCCCCCAAAUCCUACAGGAGGUUCAGGUGAAUUUGGGCUUGCCGAAAUAUAGGAGUGUGCUGCGUGCUGCAGCAGGUUUGGAUGCGGCAAUCAAGACUAUGGCUCGGCUUGGGGAGCAUCAAGCAUCGACUGAUCUGAAGAGGUCAAGAUUCAAGGAUUUAAACUGUCAAGAUAUAUGA
rnacentral:rRNA from 1 species